UUGAAGUCGUCGUACCGACGAGAAAUCAGCUUUUCGAAUGUGCAUUUGUGGGCGUAUGAGAGCUUCACGGCCUUGUUGUUUGCAUGUUUGUGCGUCUUGGGUGUACUUUUUCGUAUGGUAGGCCAACGUCAGUUUCGAUUACUAUAAAAUGACCGGCGGAAUGUAGCUUCGAUCUCGGUUGAAGUGUUAUAGCCUCUGGUAGAUGUAGUGAUUGGGACUGAGGAUUGCAACGAAUAUCCUUUAGGCUAUCCGUCUGACCUCUGAUAGUUGCUCAGGUGCCGAAAGCGUGCUUACGGUCAUCUAAGUUGACGGUCAAUAGGUUAGAACGCGAUUACAUUCGUU
rnacentral:rRNA from 1 species